rnacentral:rRNA from 1 species
UACGGAAGGCAGCAGUGGGGAAUAUUGGACAAUGGGCGAAAGCCUGAUCCAGCCAUGCCGCAUGAGUGAAGAAGGCCUUCGGGUUGUAAAGCUCUUUUAGUGAGAAAGAUAAUGACGGUACUCACAGAAGAAGUCCUGGCUAACUCCGUGCCAGCAGCCGCGGUAAUACGGAGAGGGCUAGCGUUAUUCGGAAUUAUUGGGCGUAAAGAGCGCGUAGGCUGAUUGUAAGUUAAAAGUGAAAUCCCAAAGCUUAACUUUGGAAUUGCUUUUUAAAACUGCUAGUCUAGAGAUUUGAAAGAGGAUAGAGGAAUUCCUAGUGUAGAGGUGAAAUUCGUAAAUAUUAGGAGGAACACCAGUGGCGAAGGCGUCUAUCUGGUUCAAAUCUGACGCUGAGGCGCGAAGGCGUGGGGAGCAAACAGGGAUUAGAUACCCGU